rfam:Salmo salar isolate Sally breed double haploid chromosome ssa27, whole genome shotgun sequence.
AAUGCACCAAUUUGUAAGUCGCUCUGGAUAAGAGCAUCUGCUAAAUUAUGUAAA